rnacentral:lncRNA from 10 species
UCUGAGGCUUCUAAUUAGAUAACAGUGAUUCCUAGGGCAAGAAUCACUUGCAUGCUGAUAAAAGCCAGGGAGGCUCAGAGAAGCUAGAAACAACUGGAUCAUCAACACAAACUACUGCACUCCACUGGAAUUGAACAAAGACCUUUGCUGAAAUGCCCUAGCCAGCAAGAAAUGGUAACAUUCAGAUGAGAGAUGACCUUCAAGCAAGUACUGGUUAGAGGUAAAGAAACUGAAGCACAAACAAGUUGGUUUAGAAAUUGCAUCAAGAAUGUCCUGGCAUUCAGACUAAUGCAUAGAAGAGCCUAGAUCAAGGAUGGUUAGCUACAACUGAAAAUAUGAGAAGAAGAAGGAAUGAUUGCAUUAUUUUCCAAAUGGUUCUUAGAAAAGAGAGAUCCUCCAUUUUCAUGAAAGUCAGCCACGUAAAGGAGUUCAAGCCUCAUGAAGAAGAUAAUUCCUGGAUCACUAAGAAAGUACUUGUAGCAUAGGUGGAUGAAGUCUCCCAAGAUCUAUGAUAAUCAGGAGCCAAGUUCUUAAAUUUAGGAUGGACCAAGUUUGGUUGAUAUCUUCUUCAAAGUCUGUGUUUGCAAAUGGAAGCACAGAGGACACUAUUGAGAGUGAAAAAGGCUGCCUUAGAGCAACUUCCCAGGAAGUGGAGCCCACCUAAAAUAAGGAUUCAUGUGGACAUAAUUCAUCAAGGGAGUGUUCUUCAGGUAAAACUAUACCAUUGACUGUGACUCACUCCUGAAGGGCCUCUUUCUGAAAGCUGAGAUAAUUCCGCUUGCAUGUAUGUGUGUGUUGUACAGAAAGGGGCUGAUGUGAUGUCAGCUGUAAGUCAUCAGCAGUCUACACACCAAUUGAGAUAUGGGUACACCAGGCUAUAAAAUAAUCUGAGUGAGUCACUAAUAGCACCUAAUGUACAGAAGUACAGAAGUACCAUUGAUAAUUAUGCCAGGACCAUCUCAUGCAAACCAGGACAUUUGGUCAGUCUUUUAUCCCUUUUACUCACAUCACCACCCAUGCUGUGGCUCUCCUCUGCUUUAAGUCUUCGAUGGUUCCUAUGGUCAUUGGGGAUCAUGGCCACACCCACCGAGGAUCACUACAUGGACUCCCUCAGGCUGCUGCUCCAUGCCUCUGUCACUGACCACCACUCUCUGCACAGACUACUUCAUGAGCUGCAAGCUGCUUCUUCUACACAGCAGAUGGUGGAAUGCAACUCAGAAAUCUUUGCCUUCAUGACUUGCCUUUGGGUCUCUGCCUCUGAGUCAACUCUUGCCUAUGGCUCCCAGAACUCUUUACCAUCAAAGUCCACCUGUAAAUCUUUGGUGCUUUUUGUGGAAUCCUCACUGCCUCUCAAAAAUGUCCUAUUUUGGGCAAUAAAUCCUAAUUUUGCCGCACUGGAAAUCCUGGUGUUUCAUAUUCAGCACUCUUCUACAGGGCACACAGGAACUGCAUAGAGGCCUUGGGAAAAGUGAGUUCAAAUGCAGCCUGUCACUGUCCUCAGAGUCACUGACCCCUACAAAUCAGGCUAUGUUACCAAAUCCAGUUGGACUGAUGAGACUAUUUAUCCCUUCACAUUCUCUCAAAGAUCUCACAGCACUCUCUGUAGUUUAGAUUUAUUUGGGCCCUCUCCAAAGGUCAGCAGAUAUUUAAAUGUACUCUGAUCCUGAAGUGUGUACAAGUUAUUUAUGAAAAGACUCAAAGUCUUUUGCAAAUAAAUGCAUAGAGCUGGAACUAUAUACCAGGACAUUUUGCCUAAGUCCAAAUAUAAAUUUUAAUUAUGUUUUUACUAUGAACUAGACAGACUCUUAGAUACAAAACGACAUUGUAAAGUAUGGAGAUUUGCAACUUUCAUUGUAUUUGUGCCUGAACAUGAUGAUCCUAAAGUUCACUCGAAGAAAUGCCUCUCAGUAGAAUAAAAGAACAUCUCUUGUGGUAUUUAAAUGGAUAUCAGUUUCUUCCCAUUUUCAUAUAAAAGCUCAGAGGGUUAUCUGGAAUUCACUUCACAUCACUGUGCACCAAUAUGCUAAUACCCUGCAUAAUUACUUAGCCUCAUUUGUACAUGAAUGGUCACAUAUAAUAGAUGUUCUGAGUAAGAAAGUAAAAGUCAAUAUGAGUUUGAACAUCUGGGAACGGAGUUAAGUCCAGUAGAUCUUAUUAUGUAAUGUUCUUAUUUAGAUACUUCUCAAGUCUUAGGCAAUUACUUAAUAGUGGAGUGAUAAGAACAAAGAGCACUUGGAUACAGAUUUGCUUGCAGGAGAGAGCAC